rnacentral:rRNA from 1 species
UACGUAGGGUGCAAGCGUUGUCCGGAAUUAUUGGGCGUAAAGAGCUCGUAGGCGGCUUGUCACGUCGACUGUGAAAACCCGGGGCUCAACUCCGGGCCUGCAGUCGAUACGGGCUGGCUUGAGUGCGGUAGGGGAGACUGGAAUUCCUGGUGUAGCGGUGAAAUGCGCAGAUAUCAGGAGGAAUACCGAUGGCGAAGGCAGGUCUCUGGACAGUUCCUGACGCUGAGGCACGAAGGUCAGGGGAGCAAACGGG